rnacentral:lncRNA from 1 species
GUACCUUCUCCACUUCACAGAUGGGGGAAUACAGAGGUUGUAUUUCUGGAAUGCAAAUAUAAGAGGACAACAAGAUUCAGUAGUUGUAGUUGGUAGUACCUCUUGACAGCAUGCCAAUAGGAAAAAAUACACAAUGGAAGGCUGCAAGGUAACAGAAGAAAAACUUGGUGAGAACCAAAUUUGCUCUCCUCCUUUCAAAGGCCAGAAAAACCUCACUUAAGAUUUGCUUCUACUACAUCGACACAAGAGAGGAGUUGGCAUUUUAAAUGAGCAUACUUCCUAUUGAACUUUUAGGGCAAGGGUCCUGUGCCUGUCUUCUUUGCAUUUCCACGAAUCUCUUCAUAAAUGUAAAACAAAUAGCUAAAGUUUUGGAAAUGAAACUGAUUUAAAAUAUGCAUCUUUCAAAAAUGCUUGUGUAUUUUCAUUUUACUUAAAAGAAAAAGGGAAAAUAAAGAGAAAAAGAGAGGGAGAGAGCAGAUGCAGCCUAUCCUCUGGUUCACUCUCCAAAUUUCUGCAAUAGACAGGGCCAGGGCGGGCCAAAGUCAGGAGGACCAGGCCAACGUCGGGAGCCCAGAAUGGCACUCAGAUCACCCAGGGAAGUAGCAGGGACCCAAGCACUUGAAUCAUCAUGCUUCCAGGUUGCACAUUAGCAGGAAGCUUGGUUAGAAGCAGAGUAGUCAGGAUUUGAUAUGGAAUAAGGGCAUUCCAAGCAGCAACUUAGCUACUAUGCCAAAAGCCCAACUAGAAUCUUUGUAACUUAAUAUUAAAUUCUGGAGCAAUUGUCCAGAGACCAAUAAUUCUCUGCUAUCAUCAGCACCAAUACAAGGAAAGAAAUUAUGACCUGAAUGACAUGGGAUGCUGAUGGAUACUGCAGGCUGCUCUCAUCAGGGAACUGCUGCAAAGGUAACAGAAGUUACACAUUGAAGAACUGGCUAAUGAUUCAGUUCCACAUCACUGAACUACCUCAGAGGAAACUUAAAAUGCAGCAAAAUCAUGAUUACUUAUCCAAAGAGUGUAUGGGGUUUUGCAAAUACAUUUUUAGUGCCUGGGUGAGUCUGUUGAUACAAUCAUUACUUUAAUCUCCUUCUUCGUCUCAGUAAGAAACCCACUGUCAUGUUACAUGCCACAUAGACACCACCUCAUGUAGACAUUUAAAGAAUGUUAGUGCUUUCAGGAUUGACUCACUGGAGAAAAAGAAUAAGCGGAGGAUAGUGUGUUUCAUCUAAAUUCCAAAUCAUAUGUGGACAGAAACGCAUAAAACAGAAAUGCAUACUUUAAUAAAUAAGAGGAAGAGAGCA